UAGGGAAUCUUCCACAAUGGACGCAAGUCUGAUGGAGCAACGCCGCGUGAGUGAAGAAGGUCUUCGGAUCGUAAACUCUGUUGUUAGAGAAGAACACGAGUGAGAGUAACUGUUCAUUCGAUGACGGUAUCUAACCAGCAAGUCACGGCUAACUACGUGCUAG
rnacentral:rRNA from 1 species